rnacentral:tRNA from 2 species
GGGCGCUUAGCGCAGCUGGUUCAGAGCAUCUGCCUUACAAGCAGAGGGUCGGCGGUUCGAAUCCGUCAGCGCCCACCA